GUUCCUACGGGGGGCAGCAGUAGGGAAUUUUGCGCAAUGGGCGAAAGCCUGACGCAGCAACACCGCGUGAAUGUUAAGCCCUUCGGAUUGUAAACUUAUUUUAUCAGGGAAGAAAAAAAUGACUGUACCUGAAGAAGAAGCACCGGCUAACUACGUGCCAGCAGCCGCGGUAAUACGUAGGGUGCAAGCGUUAUCCGGAUUUACUGGGUGUAAAGGGCGAGUAGACGGCGUUGCAAGUCAGAUGUGAAAGGCUAGGGCUCAACCUUAGGAGAGCAUCUGAAACUGUAAUGCUAGAGUGCAGGAGA
rnacentral:rRNA from 1 species